ensembl:ncRNA F55C10.11 ncRNA
AAAAUGGAGAGUUGCGUGAGAUUCUUCAGAUUUGUGUUGUGCUUUCUUCUCACACCUACUCUCAUGGCGUGCAUGUCAAUUCCAUCGACAAAUGCUGUCAAUUUUUAUGAGCGGAGGCAACCGGGUGAGAGUAUUUUU